UCUUUUCUUAUCUAGUUCCUUUGUUCCUAGCCACAUUUCAAAAACAUGAUUUCCUAAACUGCUCCCACUUCUCAAUUACUGCCAUUCCUGUUUCAGGGAGUAACCUGCAUUGUCAUAAGGAGCUGAUGAAAACUCCAGGGGAAGAUUAAUCACAACAUUAAUUUAGAAACCAGUAAAAUAUGAGUGAUAGUAUUGCUUCCCCUGGGGCUGAGGAAGAGUUAACAGUCUGAAGACAGUCAAACACGGAUUCUAAAUGGGGCUGCAGCCCUUUCAGAAUCAACUGUUCUUUUUUGAUAGGUUUUGAAUGGGAGGACUUACAGAGGCUCCUAAGUAGCAAUUUGGAGGAAGCUCUCAUCAUCGUGUUUUGCAGCGGAUGGCGCAGUCUUGGGUGCUACAAGAACUUGCAAAACUACUGGACUAAGACAAGGAAGAUGAAGAUUGGUGCUCAUUAGAAAGCCUCAGCUAGGCCCAUGCUGACUGAAUUCAAAUGGACUGAUGGGAUCCUGACUGCUGUUCCACAUAUUCAAAACAAAAAGACAAAUUCAGCAGUCAUUUGAUGGCAGGAAUGAGUCCAGCUCCUUCCAUACUCCCUCUGAGACGGCUGGUCCACUGUCAAGAAAUGCCUGACUGGGUUAAACAAUUCCCUGGCUGUGGUCAGGACAGAGAUCAUUGACUGAAAUAUAGAUACCUAAACUGCUGUUUUUGCAGGGGAUUAUCUUGUAUCAGCUGAAGCUCUUUGAAUUUGUUUCUCUUGAAACUCCAAUAAAUUGCUCUCGAUUCAUUUUUCUGGCUUGCCAAUGUGCCUUUGAAUAACAAUCCUGUCCUGUAACACUGAAAUUUGGCACCAUCAACAAACUCGUUGAGGUGCACUCUGUCCCAAAGUCCAUUUUAUUAGCACAGACAACACCUGACAUCAAAAAACAUUGUCCCCCAUAUUGAUCCCUAGGGACAACCAGUCGCUAGGCUGGUUGUCCAGACAUUCCUUCUGGUUUUCUCUUCAUUGUCUACCUCGUCAAACAAAAUGUCAUCAGUUUGACUAUGAGGAUACCAUGGAGACCAUGUCAAAGAUAUUUCUGUACUUAAACUAAAACAAUAUUCACCACUGUCCUCUCAUCCAUAAGUAAAGCAUACAAUUUGCAAAAAUAAUCGUCCAUUCAUGACAAAAUCCAGUCCUUGGGGAGAAGCAGGGCUGAGCAUGUUCCCAGUGUUCCCUGGCUUCUGCCUUCCCUCCAGAGGUCUCCCAUGUAUGAGAUCAGUUCCAGCACAUAACUUCCAGUGCCCAAAGCAAUACAUGAGUUUCCCAUGCAGAACUCAGCUUCCACAUGCUUUCCUUCUCUUAUUAGCAGAGAACAUGGGAACAUGUGUCCCAGACCAGUCACACAAAGGAAGUUUGCUUUUGGCCUCACUUGAUAGCAUUUUGUUUCUGUCAAGUCUCUGUUCAUAAAGUGAAGAUAAUGAUGUUUCAGUGAGCAAAGCAUAAAUGCUCUGAGUCAACCUGAUAAUCCCAUUUUAUUUUGCACACUCAGCUAGGGAUGUUUCUCUCCCUCCCUCCCUUGUCUCCUAGCAUCCUGCUAAGUGUCUCUCCCAUUUUUCUCUAAUGUACUAAUCAGUGUGGUCUUUACAGAACACAUUCAAUUAUCAUUAUUGCUAAGGUGUCUGGAUGUGCUGCUGAUGAAGUUCAUGAUGCUGCUAUAGCAGGUUGUAUCCAGGCAUGCUUUACCCAAAGGUUUUUAAGUAUGUAAAGCAAAGGCAAGACAGAGCAGUGAAGCAAUUUGCACAAUAUUGUUUAAAUCAGGAGCAGAACCAGGAUCCACAGAUUUAAAAUCUGUUUGAUCACCUGCUAGAUCACAGUUUCUGUAAAUCCAUGUGAUGGUUGUCCACAUACCUGAGUUGCUUGUCCAGGUGACAGAAUGUUUUUUAUAUUCCUUUAAUCCUAUAUCCAUGCCCCAAAGAUAUUCAGCUCUUCCCAACAUCUUCCAAACAUAAGGUCAUAUGAUUCAUCUCAGAAGAGCACAGAACUUGUGUAAAUAAACCUUAAUCCCUGUUCUUCCAGCAAUUUCUAGAACCCAGGUCCUAUGCAUACCAAGUUUUACCUCCGAGUCCUUUUGUUUGCCUCCUCAGUCUUUUGUGCUGUGAUUCAAUGCCAUGAAUCUCCAUGCUAUAAAUACCAUAUUCAUCCUCUGGUCUCAGGAAAAGCUGAUGCUAAAAAUGUAUGGAACCUCUGGUGUUUGGCAGACUAA